rnacentral:ncRNA from 1 species
GGAUAGCUGGAGCCCAUUACGAGUUCUAUCAGGUAAAGCCAAUGAUUAGAGGCAUUGGGGACGCAACGUCCUCGACCUAUUCUCAAACUUUAAAUAGGUAGGAUGGCUCGGCUGCUUGCGUGAGCCGUGCCACGGAAUCGGGUGCUCCAAGUGGGCCAUUUUUGGUAAGCAGAACUGGCGAUGCGGGAUGAACCGGAAGCCGGG